CGGCGGACGGGUGAGUAACACGUGGAUAACCUACCUAUAAGACUGGGAUAAUUCGGGAAACCGGAGCUAAUACCGGAUAAUAUAUUGAACCGCAUGGUUCAAUGUGAAAGACGGUUUUGCUGUCACUUAUAGAUGGAUCCGCGCCGCAUUAGCUAGUUGGUAAGGUAACGGCUUACCAAGGCAACGAUGCGUAGCCGACCUGAGAGGGUGAUCGGCCACACUGGAACUGAGACACGGUCCAGACUCCUACGGGAGGCAGCAGAA
rnacentral:rRNA from 1 species